AAAAAUUAAGAUUAAAUAUUCAUAUAUCUAUGGUAAUAUGGUCCAUAAGUCUCUACGAACUCGCCGUAAAUGGGUUUGCUAUGAAUGGUUAACAAA
rnacentral:ncRNA from 1 species